CAGUUCUCCCUGCUGGAGAAGAAGGAAAGGACGGUUACAGGAAUGCGAUGAAGGGCUGCUGUGUAACAGUUAGAGUUAUAAACAAGUUACCUCUGGCUCAUCUGCAGAGAGAGGAGAAUAACAUUCGGUGCUGAGCAGUGGAAAAAUCCCAUUAAAAGGCGUGGGGUCCAUGUCAGCUGCAUGCCAUGCCCAGAAGUGAGACCUUUCCUUCAAAAUCCACUGCCUCAAGGCAUUGUCACUCUCCCCACCUGGAAGUGGCUUUUCGGGGGCCAUAUGAAUGUUUGGCGCUGGAUUCAGGCCACUGAUCAUCUGAGUGUUGGGAGCACGGUUAUCUCUGUACCAGACGCAGCGAUUCCUGUUUGUCGAAAUUAGUGCUACAGCAAAGAUCCCCUGUUCUUCCGAAGAAAAAUUGGAAGGGGGUGGCAUUUCGGUGUAUUGGUACAGGAGAAGGGCAGAUGAAGGGCUCACCUGCAUUAAGAAAUGCUUAAAUGAUCAGAAUGUAAGUAAGUUUGCUUGCAAAGCCGAGACGCACGGCCUGGCGCUAGAAAUCUACAACGUCCAGCCGGAUGAAUCUGGGGACUAUUACUGUGCAGUUAAAUCCAGCAGCCAUCUGAUUUUCAACAAUGGAUCCACACUGAUUGUUGGGGACAGCUACACCACCAGCAGCUGGGUUUUGCUUCUGGUUCCAUCCCCACUUGGCCUCAACUCCCCUGGGA